UACGUAGGGGCCUAGCGUUGUCCGGAUUUAUUGGGCGUAAAGCGCGCGCAGGCGGUCCUUUAAGUCUGAUGUGAAAGCCCACGGCUCAACCGUGGAGGGUCAUUGGAAACUGGGGGACUUGAGUGCAGAAGAGGAGAGCGGAAUUCCACGUGUAGCGGUGAAAUGCGUAGAGAUGUGGAGGAACACCAGUGGCGAAGGCGGCUUUCUGGUCUGUAACUGACGCUGAGGCGCGAAAGCGUGGGGAGCAAACAGG
rnacentral:rRNA from 1 species